CGCCUGGGGAGUACGGUCGCAAGAUUAAAACUCAAAUGAAUUGACGGGGGCCCGCACAAGCGGUGGAGCAUGUGGUUUAAUUCGAUGAUACGCGAGGAACCUUACCAGGGCUUAAAUGCAUUUUGACAGGGGUAGAGAUACCUUUUCCUUCGGGCAAUUUGCAAGGUGCUGCAUGGUUGUCGUCAGCUCGUGCCGUGAGGUGUCAGGUUAAGUCCUAUAACGAGCGCAACCCCUACCGUUAGUUGCCAGCAUGUCAUGAUGGGGACUCUAACGGGACUGCCGGUGCAAACCGUGAGGAAGGUGGGGACGACGUCAAAUCAUCACGGCCCUUACGGCCUGGGCUACACACGUGCUACAAUGGCCGGUACAGAGGGAAGCCACCCCGCAAGGGGGCGCGGAUCUACAAAACCGGUCACAGUUCGGAUCGGGGGCUGCAACUCGACCCCGUGA
rnacentral:rRNA from 1 species